GGGCGCGUAGCUCAGGGGUAGAGCGCCUGCCUUACAAGCAGGAUGUCGGCGGUUCGAAACCGUCCGCGCCCACCG
rnacentral:tRNA from 3 species